GCUUAGCCCUAAACAUAAAUAAUUCACUUAACAAAAUUACCCGCCAGAGAACUACGAGCAACAGCUUAAAACUCAAAGGACUUGGCGGUGCUUCACACCCCCCUAGAGGAGCCUGUUCUAUAAUCGAUAAACCCCGAUAAACCUCACCACCUCUUGCUAAUCCAGUCUAUAUACCGCCAUCCUCAGCAAACCCUUAAAAGGAAAGAAAGUAAGCAUAAUCAUCACACAUAAAAAAGUUAGGUCAAGGUGUAACCCAUGAGGUGGGAAGAAAUGGGCUACAUUUUCUAAACAAGAACAUACCAUACGAAAGUUAUUAUACGAAAUUAAUAACUAAAGGUGGAUUUAGUAGUAAACUAAGAAUAGAGAGCUUAAUUGAACUGGGCCAUGAAGCAC
rnacentral:rRNA from 1 species